rnacentral:rRNA from 1 species
UGGGGAAUUUUGGACAAUGGGGGAAACCCUGAUCCAGCCAUCCCGCGUGUGCGAUGAAGGCCUUCGGGUUGUAAAGCACUUUUGGCAGGAAAGAAACGUCAUGGGUUAAUACCCCGUGAAACUGACGGUACCUGCAGAAUAAGCACCGGCUAACUACGUGCCAGCAGCCGCGGUAAUACGUAGGGUGCAAGCGUUAAUCGGAAUUACUGGGCGUAAAGCGUGCGCAGGCGGUUCGGAAAGAAAGAUGUGAAAUCCCAGAGCUCAACUUUGGAACUGAGUUUUUAACUACCGGGCUAGGGUGUGUCAGAGGGAGGUGGAAUUCCGCGUGUAGCAGUGAAAUGCGUAGAUAUGCGGAGGAACACCGAUGGCGAAGGCAGCCUCCUGGGAUAACACUGACGCUCAUGCACGAAAGCGUGGGGAGCAAACAGG